UGGUGGUGACUCAGUGGUUAAGGCUUCGGGCUAAUGAGCAAAAUGUUGUGAGUUCAAAUCUCAAGACUACCAA